rnacentral:sRNA from 19 species
AAAAAAAAUGGGCGGAACGCCCAUCUUCUCUUACUGGUGGUCGCACCUGAGCCGCACAUUGAAUCCGUACGCCCAGCGACUCCGCGAUUAUAGCGUUUU